UUCAGCAUGGCAGUAUCUGCCACCACUUGUUUUGGUCCAAGGGCAGAAAUGAGCAUCCUGGAAACCAAUCAGUACUUGCGCUCUGAACUGGAAAAGUGCAAACAGAACUUCCAAGACCUCACAGAGAAAUUCCUGACAUCCAAAGCUACUGCCUACUGCCUGGCCAAUCACCUGCAGAAAUGUAGAUACAUGAUCCCUUAAUUCAGGCUCAGGCUGAAGAACUGACCCACUUACAACAGAAGAUACAGGAAGGGAGAGGUGUCUGCUACCUUUUCACCCAGCAUGUGAAGAACACAGUCAAGUCUUUUGAGGGCCUUCUCAGGAACACUGACAUUGCCUACUACCAGAGACAGAGAUUCUGUGAGCAAAUGGUACAAGGAAGCCAGCUGACAGAGAUCCUUGUCAGAAAACUUGCCACAGAAUCAACCCCAAUGCUCACUAACAAACUGAGAAG
rnacentral:lncRNA from 1 species